rnacentral:rRNA from 1 species
AGUGAACGCUGGCGGUAGGCCUAACACAUGCAAGUCGAACGGCAGCACAGUAAGAGCUUGCUCUUACGGGUGGCGAGUGGCGGACGGGUGAGGAAUACAUCGGGAUCUACUUUUUCGUGGGGGAUAACGUAGGGAAACUUACGCUAAUACCGCAUACGACCUACGGGUGAAAGCAGGGGAUCUUCGGACCUUGCGCGAUUGAAUGAGCCGAUGUCGGAUUAGCUAGUUGGCGGGGUAAAGGCCCACCAAGGCGACGAUCCGUAGCUGGUCUGAGAGGAUGAUCAGCCACACUGGAACUGAGACACGGUCCAGACUCCUACGGGCGGCAGCAGUGGGGAAUAUUGGACAAUGGGCGCAAGCCUGAUCCAGCCAUACCGCGUGGGUGAAGAAGGCCUUCGGGUUGUAAAGCCCUUUUGUUGGGAAAGAAAAGCAGCAGGUUAAUACCCCGCUGUUCUGACGGUACCCAAAGAAUAAGCACCGGCUAACUUCGUG